rnacentral:misc_RNA from 1 species
UUUGCGAAUGAUUGAGAGGGAAAGGUACUUUCUAAAUGUUUUAAAACCUAACAAAUCCAAAACAUUAAUGUGUGUGUCAAUUUUUGCCCCACCUUUUAAUUUUACCAAUUAUAUCCCCAACUUUGGUUGUUGGUGCUAAUUAUAGGUCAUCCCUUGUAUUUUGUUGUCUUCACAUAGGCAAGUAGCACUGAUAGAUGAAUAUAAUGUAGCACGCAAAUUUGUGUAAUAACUCUUAAAAUACGUCACAUCAACAAUCAUCAAAAAAUUAAAGAAAAGAAGAUAACACCAAAUACUAAAUAUUCUAAUACAAAUUAAAUGAUGUAUCUAACUUUUGACUUAUGAG